rnacentral:rRNA from 1 species
UGGGGAAUAUUGCACAAUGGCGGGAACUCUGAUGCAGCGACGCCGCGUGAACGAAGAAGGCUUUCUAGUCGUAAAGUUCUUUUAUAUGGGAAGAUAAUGACGGUACCAUAAGAAAAAGCCCCGGCUAACUACGUGCCAGCAGCCGCGGUAAUACGUAGGGGGCUAGCGUUGUCCGGAAUCACUGGGCGUAAAGGGUUCGCAGGCGGAAAUGCAAGUCAGGUGUAAAAGGCAGUAGCUUAACUACUGUAAGCAUUUGAAACUGCAUAUCUUGAGAAGAGUAGAGGUAAGUGGAAUUUUUAGUGUAGCGGUGAAAUGCGUAGAUAUUAAAAAGAAUACCGGUGGCGAAGGCGACUUACUGGGCUCAUUCUGACGCUGAGGAACGAAAGCGUGGGUAGCAAACAGG